rnacentral:lncRNA from 1 species
CAUUAAAAAGGAUAGUAUUAAUAAUGAAAAUCUGAUUUCAAGUACAAACACAAACCAAAAUAGCUAAAGCGAUUAUAGUUAUAUAUGAAGAAAAAAUGAAAUUUAACAAGCAAUUUUACUCACAAUAAAUUUCGUAUAAAAAUAAAUUAAGGUAUACAGGAUCCAUCAUUCUAGAGGGGUUGUUGGAUAGGGUACAAGAAAGAGUUCCCCCAAAAGAAUGCCAUUUAUUGAGAGGAAGAGCAGCUGUUGCUCUUUGGUAAAACAAAUUAAAAA